AGCGAACGCUGGCGGCAGGCCUAACACAUGCAAGUCGAACGAACCUUUCGGGGUUAGUGGCGGACGGGUGAGUAACACGUGGGAACGUUCCUUUAGGUUCGGAAUAACUCAGGGAAACUUGUGCUAAUACCGAAUGUGCCCUUCGGGGGAAAGAUUUAUCGCCUUUAGAGCGGCCCGCGUCUGAUUAGCUAGUUGGUUGAGGUAAUGGCGCACCAAGGCGACGAUCAGUAGCUGGUCUGAGAGGAUGAUCAGCCACAUUGGGACUGAGACACGGCCCAAACUCCUACGGGAGGCAGCAGUGGGGAAUCUUGCGCAAUGGGCGAAAGCCUGACGCAGCCAUGCCGCGUGAAUGAUGAAGGUCUUAGGAUUGUAAAAUUCUUUCACCGGGGACGAUAAUGACGGUACCCGGAGAAGAAGCCCCGGCUAACUUCGUG
rnacentral:rRNA from 1 species